GGGCCCGCACAAGCGGUGGAGCAUGUGGUUUAAUUCGAUGAUACGCGAGGAACCUUACCAGGGCUUAAAUGUAGUGGGACAGGUCUAGAGAUAGACCCUUCUUCGGACUCAUUACAAGGUGCUGCAUGGUUGUCGUCAGCUCGUGCCGUGAGGUGUCAGGUUAAGUCCUAUAACGAGCGCAACCCCUAUCGUUAGUUGCCAGCGAGUAAUGUCGGGAACUCUAACGAAACUGCCAGUGCAAACUGUGAGGAAGGUGGGGAUGACGUCAAAUCAUCACGGCCCUUAUGCCUAGGGCUACACACGUAAUACAAUGGUAUGCACAAAGGGAAGCGACCCAGCGAUGGUGAGCAAAUCUCAAAAAGCAUAUCUCAGUCCGGAUUGGAGUCUGCAACUCGACUCCAUGAAGUUGGAAUCGCUAGUAAUCGC
rnacentral:rRNA from 1 species